UGGGGAAUAUUGGACAAUGGGCGAAAGCCUGAUCCAGCCAUGCCGCGUGAGUGAUGAAGGCCCUAGGGUUGUAAAGCUCUUUCACCGGUGAAGAUAAUGACGGUAACCGGAGAAGAAGCCCCGGCUAACUUCGUGCCAGCAGCCGCGGUAAUACGAAGGGGGCUAGCGUUGUUCGGAAUUACUGGGCGUAAAGCGCACGUAGGCGGAUAUUUAAGUCAGGGGUGAAAUCCCGGGGCUCAACCCCGGAACUGCCUUUGAUACUGGGUAUCUAGAGUAUGGUAGAGGUGAGUGGAAUUCCGAGUGUAGAGGUGAAAUUCGUAGAUAUUCGGAGGAACACCAGUGGCGAAGGCGGCUCACUGGACCAUUACUGACGCUGAGGUGCGAAAGCGUGGGGAGCAAACAGGAUUAGAUACCCCUGGUAGUCCACGCCGUAAACGAUGGAAGCUAGCCGUUGGCAGGUUUACCUGUCGGUGGCGCAGCUAACGCAUUAAGCUUCCCGCCUGGGGAGUACGGUCGCAAGAUUAAAACUUAAAUGAAUUGACGGGGAUCAUAGCUGUUU
rnacentral:rRNA from 1 species